CUCCUGGGGGUCUGGGGUCUGGAUGGUGCGCCCCGAGUCCUCGGGUCUUCUGGUCCUGUGGCUGUGUCUUUGUUUUGUCAAUUGCGCCCUCUUCUCUGGCGCUCGGCUGUUUGCUGCACCCACGGCCAGGAGACCACAUACUGAGAACGCACUGAACCCGGAACUUUCUGGGCCACCAAGUAUUCCCGGGAAGACUGACUGAGAGGGUCCCAGAGUGUGUACCCUCCUCCAGGCCGGCCAGGUAGAGGGCAGAUCUGGAUUUUCCCUCGGCUUUUCCUGGAAGCCUGGGCAAAGCCAGCCCCUCAGGGCCGUGGCACCCGGAUCUCCCAGCUCCACGUGGAGAGAGGAUGAGGGCGACAGUCCUCUGUGACCAGAGGAGAUGCAGAGCCAGGGCUCCGCCUGCAGAGGCUCUCGUCCAUUUGACAGGCACCCUGUCCUGCCAGGUCUCUGCCCCGUUCCUGUGUCUCUCUGGCUGUAGGAAGCAGCAGGACCUUCAGAGUGUGGGGAUAUGCACCUUAGUGAGGCCGUGGUUUUACUCAGGCUGCAGAGCAUCCUCCUACCUCGAGAUGAAGGGCACAGGGAGACGGAGCACCAGGACUGCCGCCAGUGGGAACGCGCUGCACCCGCAGAGCACAGGAAGUUGGAGCCGUUCUGGAAGCUGGAAGCUGCUCUUCUGCCCGAUACUGGUUUGAGAGGCAGUCAGGAGGGCUCCACCCCUGUCAACAGGACAAAAGUCCCAGAGUCGAGAGCUCGGCUGGGCCACUUCCUGAGGGAGAUGCAGCUCCAUGAGGCCUGGAGGCUGAGGAGAGUCAGGAGGAGACGCUGGAGAGGAGGGCCCAGCGUGGCCCAGCCUGCCCUGCGGCUCCUGGGGCUGCAGGUGCCAGUCGCACCUUCAGGGCUGCGGUUGGGUGUCCUCCACGGCGCUUGCGAGGGGGACCUUGAGGUUUCUUCUGGCCUCGGCUUCCUCUCACAACAACAAGGGUUGGUUCCUCGAAGGGCAAGGAUGCAUCACUGUUCGUGAUUUUCCAUCUCGGCUGCCUCUCGGCCUUCCCUGCUUGGGUGGCUCUUAACCCACAACCAAGGAACCCAGUGUCCUCUGGAUCUGGUUCUGCAUGCACUCUCCCAGCUCCUGCUGGUACAUGUUUCCUGGGUCCUGACGCUCGUUUGCUGACAGGUCCUUCCUUCCUCGUCAGACCCUGAGCUUCUCCAGCUGCGUGACACUGAUGUCGUGGAGGAGCAGAGCUGGAGCAGAUCACUGGGGAAUCCGUGUCGUCAUACAGACAUCUCUGCGUCAUGUUCCAGCACAGAUAGAGCAUUUGCCUUCAACAGGGAGAAGAAGGACACCUCUUCGGGUCCAGAAGAUGUAGGGAAACCUGAGGUUCAAGAAUUUGAGUGUAUUGAUCAGAUGACCCUCCCUGAAGCCUCAGGGUCUCCCUUCUUCCCAACCAGGUCCUGACAUUGGGCAGCAGCCUCCCUUGGGUUGAGGGCUGCUGUCUUUAGGACUGAGUCUUGAUCCACGGCUCUUUUUGGUUCUCUGGCUGCAGGAGAGGAGAGUGUCUAUAUGGCACCAAGGAAGCCCUCUUUUUGUCACUUUUUUUUAAAAUUGGAGAUCUUUUCAUUGCCUUGUUCUUGGCAAGAGCUGCCUGAUUCCGUAAUGCAGAUGGUUGCUGCUCUUCCCAGCCACUCCGAUGCCCUGGAUGCGGCACCCAGCAGUGUGUUUCUUUCAUUGGGCUUCCACCCUGGCUCAGUGCUACUACUGCCUGGCAGGGCUGUGGUGCCACCAGUGAUGUGCCACUUGGCAUUCUGUGCUCAACCCCACCAUACAGGCUGCUCCUGGAACACUUCUGGCCCCACCAUCUUCUGCUGGGCUCCCCUGGACACAAACUCUGAAGCAGAGGUUUGUGUGCAAGAGGUUAUUGGGAGUGUUCUCGGAAGAAAAGUCCUGUGAGCGUGGGAGGGAAGAAGGAUCGGGCAGAGGAGUAUCUUGACCACUGUGCAGGUCUGUGGGGCCUCGGCUGACCCUCUGAGAUGCUCAGCAGCUGGGGCUGCUGGUUAGUUGUCUUGAUGGAGGCAGAGCCUUGGUCUUGGGGACUGGGGGCAUCUGGAUGGCGCACGACAGCACACCCUACAGAAGCCUCUGAGGUCUCAGAGUUAGAGGCAGCAACGGUGGAGUUUGAGCCAAGGAAAAGCUGCUGUCCUAACUUGCAUGUUAAACUCGCAGUAAACACCAUGUAUGGAGGUCUUGACGGGAUGAAGUCAAGCAGGUGACGAGGACCUGGAAGGAGACUCAGGUAGCCACGGUGAAGAAUGCUUAGUAACCCUUUUCACGUGUACCUAAGCCUUUUUUUUUAGGAAAUGAGGAUAAAACAGUGAAAAACCAGGCCUUGUCUUCAGGAAGCUUGUGUUCUGGUGUGUGCAGGGUGUGUGUGGGCUACCCAGAUGGGGGAGGGGGGAAGUCAGGGGAGACACAGACCAUACCUGAGGCAAGGAAGGAACCCCACAGAGGCCUGAGGGUCAGGAGGGCAGACCCAGGGCACUUGGCUUGUGUGAG
ensembl:lncRNA